rnacentral:rRNA from 1 species
GAUGAACGCUAGCGGCAGGCCUAAUACAUGCAAGUCGAACGGUAAGGCCCUUUCGGGGGUACACGAGUGGCGGACGGGUGCGUAACGCGUAUGCAACAUGCCUUCCAGCGGGGGAUAUACCAGGGAAACUUGGCGCAAUACCCCAUAGAAUUACGGGACCGCAUGGUCUUGUGAUUAAAACUCCGGUGCUGGGAGAUUGGCAUGCGUGACAUUAGCUAGUUGGCGGGGUAACGGCCCACCAAGGCGACGAUGUCUAGCUGGUCUGAGGAGGAUGAUCAGCCACACUGGGACUGAGACACGGCCCAGACUCCGUACGGGAGGCAGCAGUAGGGAAUAUUGGACAAGUGGGGGGAACCCUGAUCCAGCCAUGCCGCGUGGAGGGAAGAAGGUCCUC